AGACGAACCGGACAAACGUUGUUCGGAAUCACUGGGCUUAAAGGGUGCGUAGGCGGCCAGGUAGGUCAGAUGUGAAAUCCCACGGCUCAACCGUGGAAUUGCGUUUGAAACCACUUGGCUUGAGUAAGAUAGAGGUAAGCGGAACUGAUGGUGGAGCGGUGAAAUGCGUUGAUAUCAUCAGGAACACCGGUGGCGAAAGCGGCUUACUGGGUCUUUACUGACGCUGAGGCACGAAAGCUAGGAGAGCGAACGGGAUUAGAAACCCCUGUAGUCC
rnacentral:rRNA from 1 species